CAGUUCAUUGGCUGUAGGGUGAGGCAAGUGAUGAGUCAUGACUCGAGUGACCUCCCACCCCACCUCAUGUGCCGCGCGCAAGAAGUCCGGUAGCGAAGAAGAGAAGGAGAAGGAUAACUUUGCUAACAAACAUGCCGGAGGCACACAAACGAAAACGAAUCGACAACAUGAAUGUGGUAGAUCAUCUAUUGGAGCACAGAUUUGAAACCCUUAGUCUGGAGGAAAAAUUAGAGGACACUGCUUAGGCCUAUGGGAGGUGUACUCCAUGGUAAAAUGAUAU